rnacentral:lncRNA from 1 species
GUCUCGUUGGAGCGGUUGCCACAAGCCUGCCUUGGAGGGUGUACCGUGCUGGGGCCCCUUCCCCUCUGCUUCUCUACUGCUGCAAGGUCUUAAAGCUCAAGGGGUCUUUGGACUCGCCAUAUAGCUCAGGCUGCAACUCAAGAUCCUCCUGCUUCAGCCUCUCCAGUUACAUUUACAUCGCACAACCCGCAAAACCAGAUGCCUUCACGGAACACGAUGGAUUCCUGUGAUAGCUACUAUUACUGAUGGAUUAAAAGAUAUGUUACAAUCCAUAAUGUUUUAGAAUUGAAGCAGUUUGGUUCUAUUAGGAUGCCAUGUUGGAGGCCAGAAGCACAACUGAAGGACAGAAGGGACCAAACAAUGGACGAGGAGGAAACAGCUGGGGGUUUCACAUAUGGCACGCAAAUGACAGAAGCAGGUGGAACAGGAGUUGGUGGCAGCUAACUUAGGAGCAUUCCUUGGCCCUUGCCACACAACCUGGCAACAAAGGCAACUGUGUUGGUAACAGCAGCAUUCAGCCUGGCUGCUCUCAAGGAAGAAACUACUUCCAUCCCAAGCAGUCAGGAGCCCUGUGAUUUGGGCCACUUACGCUACAGAGCACCGGCAACAUUCUUGCUUACUGACUGGAGAAAUGUGAAAGGACACCCAUACUGUUGCAUUGGCUCUUGCACGUGGUCUGGAAGGAUGAGUUUGCUGAUAGGGGGUUCUUGAAGAAUGAAAAAGCGAAUUCCAAGUGAAGAGAAAUCUCAAGAGCUGUGGCUAAAAGCAGAAAACACAUGGAAACUUUUGGUGCGCUAUGAUUGGAGAAGAGAAAUAUGUAAUGGAGGUAAAGAGGGAAGCAAGCCAGUAUCAACAGAAGAACAAAGGAAGGGACCGCAGAGUGGAUGGUUAAAGCUGGUUCAGGAAAACAAUUCAGAAAGGGCUACUGCCUGUGACUUUGUUGUUCUUGUUCCAAGUGUUUCGUUUCUUUUGUCUUCUUGGUUUUCAGUUCUGGGGAUGGAACUCAGAGCCUUAAACAUGCCCCACCUCUGACCUACAGCCCGAGUUCCUGGUUCCAUACCGACUGAAUCGCUUCAAUUUAACUGUAAGCAAAGUCCUGUGGGACUGAGAACUGUUUCAAAGCUCAUCCUCUUCUCAUCCAGUAGUAACUGAAAAGCAAGAAAGAA